CAGGACGAACGCUGGCGGCGUGCCUAAUACAUGCAAGUCGAACGGUCUUUCUAUGGAAGCUUGCUUCCACUGAGAAGAUAGUGGCGAACGGGUGAGUAACACGUGGGUAACCUGCCCAUAAGAGGGGGGAUAACAUCCGGAAACGGGUGCUAAUACCGCAUAGUUUUCUUGGUCGCAUGAUCGGGAAAGGAAAGACGGCCUUUGUGCUGUCGCUUAUGGAUGGACCCGCGGCGUAUUAGUUAGUUGGUGAGGUAACGGCUCACCAAGACGAUGAUACGUAGCCGACCUGAGAGGGUGAUCGGCCACAUUGGGACUGAGACACGGCCCAAACUCCUACGGGAGGCAGCAGUAGGGAAUCUUCCGCAAUGGACGAAAGUCUGACGGAGCAACGCCGCGUGAGUGAAAGAAGGUUUUCGGAUCGUAAAACUCUGUUGUCAGAGAAGAACAAGUUGGAGGGUAACUGCUCCAGCCUUGACGGUAUCUGACCAGAAAGCCACGGCUAACUACGUGCCAGCCGCAGC
rnacentral:rRNA from 1 species